UGUUUGUUUGCCAACUUAUUUCCUUUGGGAAAAUUCCAAGAAGUGGGAUGCCUGGGUUGUAUGGUAGGGUUAUAUUCAGGUUUCUGAGGAAUCUCCAGACUGACUUCCAUAGUGGCUUAACCACUUUGCAUUCCCACCAACUGUGGGUUAGUGUCCCUUUUUCCCCACAUCCUCGCCAGCAUCUGUUGUUGGUAGAUUUCUGUAUGUGAGCCAACUAACCGGGGUGAGGUGAAACCUCAUUGUAGUUUUGAUUUGCAUUUCCCUGAUGGCUAGUUAUCUUGAACAUUUUUUCAUGUGUCUGUUGGCCAUUUGGAUUUCCUCUUUUGAAAAAUGUCUAUUGAGGUCCUUGGCCCAUCUCUUGAGUGGGUCAUUUGUUUUGUUGUUGUGGAGUUUCUUGAUCUCUUUGUAGAUUCUGAUUAUUAACCCUUUAUCUGUUGCAUAGUUUGCAAAUAUUUUUUCCCAUUCUGUCGGUUGCCUCUUCACUUUCCUGUUUCUUUUGCCAUACAGAAACUUCUCAUUUUGAUACAAUCCCAAUAGUUAAUUUUGGCUUUGACUGCCUGUGCUUCCAGGGUCUUUUCCAAGAAGUCUUUACCAGUACCUAUAUCUUGCAGGGUUUCUCCAAUGUCAUAGAAAUAUAUUUUAUAAUAAUAUUUAUAGGAAAGUACAUAUUAAAUGAUCUAUUUCAUAGUGAUUGCUAUUCAUAAACACAGGAGUAAACUACACAUUUAUCAAAGGUAUAAACAUUAAAUAUAGCUUGAAUAGUUCACCCAAGUGCUGCUUUAUGUUAAUAAAGAUCCCAUCCAAAAUGAGAUAAAAGGAAAAAUAUUCAUUUACUAAAACAGAAUUGUCUAUUUUAAAAAAGUAAGGCAGGGGUAGGCAUUUGGCCUAGUAGUUAGGACACUGGUUAAAAUCACAUUGGGGCCAGCACUGUGGCGCAGCAGGUUAAGCUGUUGCCUAUAAAGCCAGCAUCCCAUAUGGGUGCCAGGUCAUGUCCUGGCCACUUCACUUCUGAUCCAGUUCCCUGCUAAUGGACUGGGAAAAGAAGUGGAAGAUGGCUAAGUGCUUGGGCCCUUGCCACCCAUGUGGGAGACUGGAUGAACCUCCUGGCUCCUGGAAUCAUCCUGGCUUCACCCUGGCCAUUGUGGCCACUUAGUGGGUGGAUAGAAGAGGAUAGAAGUUCGCUCUCUUUGUACCUCUAACUCUCAAAUAAAAAAAAAAAAGACAAAAGACACCCACAUCCCAUACUGGAGUGCCUAGGGUUCAAGCACCCAGCUUACUUCCCAUGCGUCCCCUGGAGGCAGUGGUGAUGACUCAAGUGAUCAGAUUCCUACCACCCAAGUAAGAGAUCCUGACUGAGUGUCCAGCUCACAGCUCCUGGCUUCGGCCCCAGCCAGAGGCUGCUGCAGGCAUCUGGGGAGCAAACCAGCAGAUGGGAGCACUUUCUCUGCCUAUCUUUGUCUGCCACUAAAAUUAAAAAAAAUUAUAAAGCCAAGGCAGAGUCCAACAGAUUUACCAACAAUAGUUUUUUUACAAAGUAUUUAUUUUCACUUUAUCUGAAAGGCAGAGAGACAGGCUGACAGAUAUCUUCUAUCUGUUGUUUGACUCUCCAGAUGCCUGAAGCAGAUGAGCUGGGCCAGCCCAAAGCCAGGAGCCUGGAAUGCAAUGCAGGUGUCCCAGACAGAUGGUCUGCACCCAAAAAAACCCACUGAGGCAGGAAGGCAUCAAGAGAUCUGGGAUAUGCAACCUCUCAGCUGACCAGACACACGUCUAUGGAAAUCAGAGUCUUCAAUCCUUUGAAGUAGUAUUUUAUUCUGGGAGACGGAUUCAGACAGCUGGUUCUCUCGAAGUCUUAAGAGUUCUUCAAGAUAACCCUGGAAAUACAGUAUCACCAAGAUACAGCAACUGCAAAAUUCUAACA